AUUGAACGCUGGCGGCAUGCCUUACACAUGCAAGUCGAACGGCAGCACGGGGCAACCUGGUGGCGAGUGGCGAACGGGUGAGUAAUGCAUCGGAACGUACCUUUCAGUGGGGGAUAACGUAGCGAAAGUUACGCUAAUACCGCAUAUUCUGUGAGCAGGAAAGCAGGGGAUCGCAAGACCUUGCGCUGAUUGAGCGGCCGAUGUCAGAUUAGCUAGUUGGUGAGGUAAAGGCUCACCAAGGCGACGAUCUGUAGCGGGUCUGAGAGGAUAAUCCGCAACACUGGAACGGAGACACGGUCCAGACUCCUACGGGAGGCAGCAGUGGGGAAUUUUGGACAAUGGGGGCAACCCUGAUCCAGCCAUGCCGCGUGAGUGAAGAAGGCCUUCGGGUUGUAAAGCUCUUUCGGCCGGGAAGAAAUCGCACGGGCUAAUACCCUGUGUGGAUGACGGUACCGGAAUAAGAAGCACCGGCUAACUACGUGCCAGCCGCCGCCGUAAAAC
rnacentral:rRNA from 1 species